rnacentral:rRNA from 1 species
AUUGAACGCUGGCGGCAGGCCUAACACAUGCAAGUCGAGCGGAUGAAGGGAGCUUGCUCCUGGAUUCAGCGGCGGACGGGUGAGUAAUGCCUAGGAAUCUGCCUGGUAGUGGGGGAUAACGUCCGGAAACGGGCGCUAAUACCGCAUACGUCCUGCGGGAGAAAGUGGGGGAUCUUCGGACCUCACGCUAUCAGAUGAGCCUAGGUCGGAUUAGCUAGUUGGUGGGGUAAAGGCCUACCAAGGCGACGAUCCGUAACUGGUCUGAGAGGAUGAUCAGUCACACUGGAACGGAGACACGGUCCAGACUCCUACUGAAGGCAGCAGUGGGGAAUAUUGGACAAUGGACGAAAGCCUGAUCCAGCCAUGCCGCGUGUGUGAAGAAGGUCUUCGGAUUGUAAAGCACUUUAAGUUGGGAGGAAGGGCAGUAAGUUAAUACCUUGCUGUUUUGACGUUACCAACAGAAUAAGCACCGGCUAACUUCGUG